rnacentral:rRNA from 1 species
GACAGAGGUGGCAAGCGUUGUUCGGAAUUAUUGGGCGUAAAGGGUGUGUAGGUGGUUGGAUAAGUCAGAGGUGAAAGCCCACAGCUUAACUGUGGAAGUGCCUUUGAAACUAUCUGACUAGAGUGCAGGAGAGGAGGGUGGAAUUCCCGGUGUAGAGGUGAAAUUCGUAGAUAUCGGGAGGAACACCAGCGGCGAAGGCGGCCCUCUGGACUGCAACUGACACUGAAACACGAAAGCGUGGGGAGCAAACAGG